rnacentral:rRNA from 1 species
GACGAACGCUGGCGGCGUGCUUAACACAUGCAAGUCGAACGGAAAGACCCUGCUUUUGUGGGGUGCUCGAGUGGCGAACGGGUGAGUAACACGUGAGUAACCUGCCCUUGACUUUGGGAUAACUUCAGGAAACUGGGGCUAAUACCGGAUAGGAGCUCCUGCUGCAUGGUGGGGGUUGGAAAGUUUCGGCGGUUGGGGAUGGACUCGCGGCUUAUCAGCUUGUUGGUGGGGUAGUGGCUUACCAAGGCUUUGACGGGUAGCCGGCCUGAGAGGGUGACCGGCCACAUUGGGACUGAGAUACGGCCCAGACUCCUACGGGAGGCAGCAGUGGGGAAUAUUGCACAAUGGGCGGAAGCCUGAUGCAGCAACGCCGCGUGCGGGAUGACGGCCUUCGGGUGGUAAACCGCUUUCGCCUGUGACGAAGCGUGAGUGACGGUAAUGGGUAAAGAAGCACCGGCUAACUACGU